AACGAACGCUGGCGGCAUGCCUAACACAUGCAAGUCGAACGAGACCUUCGGGUCUAGUGGCGCACGGGUGCGUAACACGUGGGAAUCUGCCCUUUGCUUCGGAAUAACAGUUAGAAAUGACUGCUAAUACCGGAUGAUGUCGAAAGACCAAAGAUUUAUCGGCAAAGGAUGAGCCCGCGUAGGAUUAGGUAGUUGGUGGGGUAAAGGCCUACCAAGCCGACGAUCCUUAGCUGGUCUGAGAGGAUGAUCAGCCGCACUGGGACUGAGACACGGCCCAGACUCCUACGGGAGGCAGCAGUGGGGAAUAUUGGACAAUGGGCGAAAGCCUGAUCCAGCAAUGCCGCGUGAGUGAUGAAGGCCUUAGGGUUGUAAAGCUCUUUUACCAGGGAUGAUAAUGACAGUACCUGGAGAAUAAGCUCCGGCUAACUCCGUG
rnacentral:rRNA from 1 species